rnacentral:tRNA from 1 species
GUCUCGGUAGCAUAAGGGUAAGAGCACGGUCCCUGGAGAGGAUAAUUACGGGUUCGAGUCCCGUCCGAGACU